CUUAUCACACACAUAAUAUGAAAUGACCUAACAUACAGUCAGAGAUGUCAUGGCUAUCCUACUGUGAACAUUAGGAAUGUAAUCUUUACCUUACAGCUCUCCACACCUGGUACAUGUCAGAGCGAGAAUAAGCAUCAAUGGACAGCCAAUCAGCAAAGAGCUCUUCACCAAAUACUUCUGGGAGGUGUAUGCCCAGUUAGAGGCUACAAAGUUAUAGUAUGUCUUCAUAGAGAGUUGAAGAAUGAACACUGAUGUAGCCCAUCACUCUCAAAGAAACUCUCUGACCCUUUCUUGUUAUGACUGUGUCACUGCACUGAUCCUUAGGACUCCCAUGGAGUUAGUAUGCCGGCCUAUCUCCGCUUCCUCACGAUCCUGGCGUUCCAUGUCUUCCUAUAGGAGAGGGUAACAUUCACAUACCCUGUCACAUGUACAGUUUGUUUACAAAUGUACUAACGACCAAAUCAAUUGAUAACAGUUGUAAACCAUUCUGAGCAGUAUCUCUCUAUAUAACAGAUGGAUUUAUCUGUAGAGGCUGUGAUUUGAAGGGCCUAUGACUGUACAAACAUCAUCAAGUAUUUUUGCUGCAUAUCAUAAAGGCUAUAUUAUCAAAGUCAAACAUAAGAUUGAUUAGUUACAGAAUCCGUAUUCACUUAUUUUUCUUUCUGACAUUUGGUGAACAGGAAGCCAUGGGUUUCUGGGAUCUCCUCCUUAGGAAUUGAUCAAGUAUACUAGGAGACACCAUAGAGGAGAAAGCAUGUAUAUUUCAGAUGAGAGUAAUGCAUGUUGUGUUGUGUGAGGUCAACCUAUGCACUGUGUACCUGUGGCAUUAUUCUUACUAUCUAUUUAAAAAAAAAAUUGUAUUUAACUAGGCAAGUCAGUUAAGAACAAAUUCUUAUUUACAGUGACGGCCUACCCCGGCCAAACCCGGACGACGCUGGGCCAAUUGUGCGCCGCCCUAUGGGACUCCCAAUUACAGCCGGAUGUGAUACAGUCUGGAUUCAAACCAGGGAUUGUAGUGACGCCUCUUACACUUUGAUGCAGUGCCUUAGACCGCUGUACCACUCAGCCUGUCUGGAGGGGUGAAUGUAGUUGAAUAAAGUCCUAUCUCUCCUCAGCCAGGGGUGCCAGCAUUCACUGUUCUACCGGACAGAGCCGAAGAGACUGGGUGUCCCCUGUGGGUAUGUCCAGAUCUGGAGCAGUAUGAAGUUGGGGCUGACCCUCUAUGUCUGGGCCUGGCUGGACAACAGCAGCGCUGCAAUGCAUCACUUGCCCUGCAGCACAGCAAGACCUGGCUACACUGCUACCAACAGUCUGAUCAGCAGAAUUUCAAUGUGUUGGUGGAGAACAUGCUCACCCGUUGCCUGGACAAUGAGAGCAGCUAGCAGAGCCUGAGUGGGAGAGAAGCAGCAGGGAUCUGAGUCAGGCUGCUGAUACAGGACAGGUUCCCCCUGCUGGCCAAGACCAUGACACACACCCUGGUCUUCCCCUGCAUCGUCAGCGCCCUCCAGUGGAUCAGUCAGGGAAGGGACACUGUGCUGGCUACUGCAGGGAGCCACUAUCUCAAAUCAAAUUGUAUUUGUCACAUGCACCGAAUACAACAGGUGAAAUGCUUAUUUAACAGUUUAGC